GCCGCCCGCCCCGUGACCAUCAUGGGGGAGAGGCGGGGCUAGGCUCUGAGUGACGGGAGGAGGCGGCCAAUGGGGUGUGGAGGGUAAAGCCCGACCUGAAACAACGUGUACCAGACUGCAGCUGAUGGCUGAAGAGAUGGAGACUGGAAAACAUCCUUGUCCUGGGGAUAUUGUACAGCAAAAGGAGAGGAAAAAACAAGUUCAGAGAACACAGGAGUCACCACUUCUGCAGAGAGACUGAAUUAAUCUUAUUUUUAAGCUUUUGAGUAGAAUAAACUGUUCAGAACGAAGCGCAACGGGGAGAAAGCACGAAACAACAUUCGAGGAUGAAAGUGGAACUGGAGGGGAAAAACAGAAAGUACAAAGCCAGGUGGCUGCUUGCUGCGAACACUUUUAUUUAUUCAUAAACACAACACACCCCAAACAUUUGGCUGCUUGACAGAAUCCUCAAAAGUCUUGGAAAGGGAUCAGAGUUGUGCUGCUGUGCCGGGUUCCUCUCCCUGCCACAGCUCGGGGAAUAACGCUGCCUUUAAGGACAAGUGUGGAAAUGUCCCUCCCGUGCCAGCAGGAGGUGGCUUUGUCCCCUCAGGGUGGCCUUGGGGACACUUUGGUGCUGCUGUCUGAGGUGCUGAAGCUGCAGAUUCCCCUCACCACGGCCUGGGCCUGGCCAGAAGGAACUGGAAAACCAAACUGGCUGUUAACUGGUUGAAACUGGAGGCUGAAAUUCUCUUUAUUCACAGAGCAGAGGAACUGGAAAACCAAACUGGCUGUUAACUGGUUGAAACUGGAGGCUGAAAUUCUCUUUAUUCACAGAGCAGAGGAACGUGAAUUUUCUGAUAAUUUUGCCUCGUUUCACCGCUGGAAACUCUGGGGGCCACUUGGAAGCUUUUGAGGAUAAAAUGGAUCCACAGCCAGGCUGCAGAGCUCCCAGGCUGUAUUUUCUUGGUGUUUUGUUCAAGUUUUCUCCCUCCAAGCCAGGCUGCUGCACAGGGAAGGUGCCGUGACUCACUGGGCUUGACUGCUGAGCAGCCAAUAUGGAAUUUAAAGAGGCAAAAACUGGCACAAUUCCCUGAAAACAAUGCUGAGUUUCCCAUUUCCCUACAGAUCAAAAAAGCUGGAAUUCACAAGCCAGAACCACAAGAAGAGAAGAUUUGAUGUUUCAAAAGAUAUUUGCUGCUUCCAGGAGGUGAAAACGUGCAGGGUGAUGAUCCCGAGCUGGACCAUUUCUUCUGAAUUACCACGAGAGGGACACAGAAGGAAACGAAAGGAGCUGGGGAAGAAAGAAUCCAAGGAACAGCUCGAGAUUUAAUUGGGGAUAAAUAUUCCCAGAACAAAUCACAGGGAUGUAACUCCAGGAAGGAAAAGGAGAAGAUGAUUUUGGCCAAAAUCCAGGGAUUUGGAAUGAAGAAAAUUCAUAGAAAUUAAGGAUGGGCCACCACCAGAGUCAGGAUUCACAUUCCACAGGUGCUCUGAUGGAAGUGGAGCCUGCUGGAGUUCCUGGAUUUUGAACGAGGCCUGUGGCAGCACAGCAAACCCAUGGAGGAGUCUGGAAACUCUGGACUGGGGCUGUUUGUACUAAAAACACCACACUGGUCUUGAUUUAUGAACAAACAGGAGUUUGCAAAUGGCUUUGGGAGACUGGUCCAGAAAUCCAUGAGCCUGAUGUCAUGUGGAGAGGGCCCAGAACACAGAAUUAUUUUUAUGGAGCUGUUAGCAAGUGUUAUUAAAAAAAUUGAAAUGUCCAAUUGGAAUUUUUUUUUUUUUUUUUGGCUAUAGGACUAGGGCAGAGCAAAAAGUCCUGGAAUGGAUGUGGACAAGACAUUCCAAUUUUAGGCCACUCUUCCUGGCUGCAGAUGAGAGCAGGGCUUUGCUGGAAGAGGGGAUUGCAAAAGGGGAUGUGAGGGAGGUCUGGAGAGCAAUAAUUUUAAGCAGCACUUCAGCCAUGAUGUCAUUUCAGCUGAAAAAUAAUGUUCAAGUUUGGGCAAGAAGAACCCAGGGCCAGCAGCCAGGGUGGGGAGGAACUGCAGCAAAAUGG